UGAACCCGGCUCCCCAAGAAUAUGAAAGUGAGGACGACUCUUACGAAGUGUUGGAUUUAACUGAGUAUGCGCGAAGACACCAGUGGUGGAAUCCAGUGUUUGGCCACAGUUCGGGAUCUAUGGUGGAAAAAUACGCAGUAGCUACCCAGAUUGUAAUGGGUGGUGUUCCUGGCUGGUUUGCAGGAUUUUUGUUCCAGAAAGUUUGAAAACUUGCAGCAACUGCAGUAGGUGGUGACUUUCUUGCCGUCAGAUUGCUAGUCAUAGUGGCUACGUGCAGAUUAACUGGAAGAGAGUUGAAAAAGAUUCAAACAAAGCAAAAAGGCAGAUGAAGAAACGAGCGAACAAAGCAGCACCGGAAAUCAACAAUUUAAUUGAAGAAGCAAUAGAAUUUAUCAAGCAGCACAUUGUGAUACCCGGUAGAUUUGUGGGAGGCUUUUUGCUCGGACUUGCAUCU
rnacentral:lncRNA from 1 species